rnacentral:rRNA from 1 species
AAUCAGUGCUGAAAAUCGUCUCUCAUCCGCCAAAACAUCUUCGGCGUUGUAAGGUUAAGCCUCACGGUUCAUUAGUACCGGUUAGCUCAACGCAUCGCUGCGCUUACACACCCGGCCUAUCAACGUCGUCGUCUUCAACGUUCCUUCAGGAGACCUAAAGUCUCAGGGAGAACUCAUCUCGGGGCAAGUUUCGUGCUUAGAUGCUUUCAGCACUUAUCUCUUCCGCAUUUAGCUACCGGGCAGUGCCAUUGGCAUGACAACCCGAACACCAGUGAUGCGUCCACUCCGGUCCUCUCGUACUAGGAGCAGCCCCCCUCAGUUCUCCAGCGCCCACGGCAGAUAGGGACCGAACUGUCUCACGACGUUCUAAACCCAGCUCGCGUACCACUUUAAAUNNNNNNNNNNNNNNNNNNNNAGCCCCAGGAUGUGAUGAGCCGACAUCGAGGUGCCAAACACCGCCGUCGAUAUGAACUCUUGGGCGGUAUCAGCCUGUUAUCCCCGGAGUACCUUUUAUCCGUUGAGCGAUGGCCCUUCCAUUCAGAACCACCGGAUCACUAUGACCUGCUUUCGCACCUGCUCGCGCCGUCACGCUCGCAGUCAAGCUGGCUUAUGCCAUUGCACUAACCUCCUGAUGUCCGACCAGGAUUAGCCAACCUUCGUGCUCCUCCGUUACUCUUUAGGAGGAGACCGCCCCAGUCAAACUACCCACCAGACACUGUCCGCAACCCGGGUAACGGGUCCACGUUAGAACAUCAAACAUUAAAGGGUGGUAUUUCAAGGUCGGCUCCAUGCAGACUGGCGUCCACACUUCAAAGCCUCCCACCUAUCCUACACAUCAAGGCUCAAUGUUCAGUGUCAAGCUAUAGUAAAGGUUCACGGGGUCUUUCCGUCUUGCCGCGGGUACACUGCAUCUUCACAGCGAGUUCAAUUUCACUGAGUCUCGGGUGGAGACAGCCUGGCCAUCAUUACGCCAUUCGUGCAGGUCGGAACUUACCCGACAAGGAAUUUCGCUACCUUAGGACCGUUAUAGUUACGGCCGCCGUUUACCGGGGCUUCGAUCAGGAGCUUCGCUUGCGCUGACCCCAUCAAUUAACCUUCCGGCACCGGGCAGGCGUCACACCGUAUACGUCCACUUUCGUGUUUGCACAGUGCUGUGUUUUUAAUAAACAGUUGCAGCCAGCUGGUAUCUUCGACUGACUUCAGCUCCAUGAGUAAAUCACUUCACCUACGUGUCAGCGUGCCUUCUCCCGAAGUUACGGCACCAUUUUGCCUAGUUCCUUCACCCGAGUUCUCUCAAGCGCCUUGGUAUUCUCUACCUGACCACCUGUGUCGGUUUGGGGUACGAUUUGAUGUUACCUGAUGCUUAGAGGCUUUUCCUGGAAGCAGGGCAUUUGUUGCUUCAGCACCGUAGUGCCUCGUCGUCACGCCUCAGUGUUAAAGUGAACCGGAUUUACCUGGAACACACACCUACACGCUUAAACCGGGACAACCGUCGCCCGGCCAACAUAGCCUUCUCCGUCCCCCCUUCGCAGUAACACCAAGUACGGGAAUAUUAACCCGUUUCCCAUCGACUACGCCUUUCGGCCUCGCCUUAGGGGUCGACUCACCCUGCCCCGAUUAACGUUGGACAGGAACCCUUGGUCUUCCGGCGAGCGGGCUUUUCACCCGCUUUAUCGUUACUUAUGUCAGCAUUCGCACUUCUGAUACCUCCAGCAACCCUCACAGGCCACCUUCACAGGCUUACAGAACGCUCCCCUACCCAACAACACCUGAGUGUCGCUGCCGCAGCUUCGGUGCAUGGUUUAGCCCCGUUACAUCUUCCGCGCAGGCCGACUCGACCAGUGAGCUAUUACGCUUUCUUUAAAUGAUGGCUGCUUCUAAGCCAACAUCCUGGCUGUCUGGGCCUUCCCACAUCGUUUCCCACUUAACCAUGACUUUGGGACCUUAGCUGGCGGUCUGGGUUGUUUCCCUCUUCACGACGGACGUUAGCACCCGCCGUGUGUCUCCCGUGAUAACAUUCUCCGGUAUUCGCAGUUUGCAUCGGGUUGGUAAGCCGGGAUGGCCCCCUAGCCGAAACAGUGCUCUACCCCCGGAGAUGAAUUCACGAGGCGCUACCUAAAUAGCUUUCGGGGAGAACCAGCUAUCUCCCGGUUUGAUUGGCCUUUCACCCCCAGCCACAGGUCAUCCGCUAAUUUUUCAACAUUAGUCGGUUCGGUCCUCCAGUUAGUGUUACCCAACCUUCAACCUGCCCAUGGCUAGAUCACCGGGUUUCGGGUCUAUACCCUGCAACUUAACGCCCGGUUAAGACUCGGUUUCCCUCCGGCUCCCCUAUACGGUUAACCUUGCUACAGAAUAUAAGUCGCUGACCCAUUAUACAAAAGGUACGCAGUCACACAGGUAAACCUGUGCUCCCACUGCUUGUACGUACACGGUUUCAGGUUCUUUUUCACUCCCCUCGCCGGGGUUCUUUUCGCCUUUCCCUCACGGUACUGGUUCACUAUCGGUCAGUCAGGAGUAUUUAGCCUUGGAGGAUGGUCCCCCCAUAUUCAGACAGGAUACCACGUGUCCCGCCCUACUCAUCGAGCUCACAGCACAUGCGCUUUUGUGUACGGGGCUGUCACCCUGUAUCGCGCGCCUUUCCAGACNNNNNNNNNNNNNNNNNNNNCCCCGUUCGCUCGCCGCUACUGGGGGAAUCUCGGUUGAUUUCUUUUCCUCGGGGUACUUAGAUGUUUCAGUUCCCCCGGUUCGCCUCAUUAACCUAUGGAUUCAGUUAAUGAUAGUGUGACGAAUCACACUGGGUUUCCCCAUUCGGAAAUCGCCGGUUAUAACGGUUCAUAUCACCUUACCGGCGCUUAUCGCAGAUUAGCACGUCCUUCAUCGCCUCUGACUGCCAGGGCAUCCACCGUGUACGCUUAGUCGCUUAACCUCACAACCCGAAGAUGUUUCUUACGAUUCAUCAUCGUGUUGCGAAAAUUUGAGAGACUCACGAACAACUUUCGUUGUUCUGUGUUUCAAUUUUCAGCUUGAUCCAGAUUUUUAAAGAGCAAA